UUACUAUAUACGUCAUUGAUUUUGGAAAUUCUUUUGCGUGAUGCCGUUGUUAUUCUUUUCACUUGUCGUUGGAUUUUUUAUUAUCGAUAUGAUUUCCGCAAGGGUGAUUAAGUUUUUGAUUAAUUGUAAAUUUUCAUCGAAUUUGGUCCUUAUGUUCUGGAAAUCGCGAAUGUGGUGCUUUGAUUGAUCAUAUUUUACUUUAUGGGAGAUGAUAAAUUUAGCUUCCCUUCUCUUGCUAGUUAUGGCUGAGUACCUGAGUCAACCCAAAUUUUGAGCCAUUGAAUAUGCGACACAAAUUAGCCUCGUUCCAUUUUUGUGUCACUUCACUGCUUGUGCCAAUUCAGCAUUGCAAGCAAGUUGUAGGAUAUUUGAAAUGAUUGGUCUAACACUUUAGGAGGUGUUGUUUUGUUCUAUUAGGGCCAGUUUGGCAUUGCUGUGUUGCUAUUUGAGAAUGUUUUUGAAAAGUUCGGUUUAACAAAAAAGUGCUUUCGAAAACUGUGGUGAAAAAGUUUGGUUCCUUAAUUUCAAGGGUUUGGCAUUGCUGUUAAUAAUUGCGGUGGAAAGUUAAAAUGUCCAUUUUAGACAUGAUAUUCGGUAGAGAAAGGAAUUAAUGUAUUGGUAUUUUCACUCGAGAUGCUCAACAAGCUAAAAGCACACUAUACCCGGCUUCUCAGUUUGGGUGAAAAAGCACUUUCAAGAAGUGUUUUUAUUGGAAAAGGACCUUGUUUGUGAAUGCUUCUGCUGUGCAUAAGUGCUUUUAGCACUCCAAACACAAUGCCAAAUACAUCCUUAGUUGAGUGAUGAUGAACAGCAUUAGGAAAGGUGUCUGAAUAAUCAAUGAUACAAAAGGGGUCAUGAUUGAUACCUUUAUGUAGAUAGUUUAGACUUCAACAGGGUCUUAGCUAUUUUCUUGUUGAUGCCAGUGAAUUUUACUCCAAUGGUGGCCAAUUUCUUGUUAUAGCUAGCUUGAGCAAAAAUCUACUUGAACAGUCUGUUCACCUCUGCACAUUUGGAGUUCAGGAUAAGGCACAAAGGUGGCGGGUACCUGAGGCAUUGCUGAACCAAAUGUUUGGAAUUGAUUUAGAUGCAUAUGAGGAGGUAUCGACUUCUUCUUCAUCAUCCGAAAGUUGGUAAAACUCAAGAAAGAAGCUGGCGUGUCAACUUUCGUCAUGAUUGUUGCACCUGCUGCAGCAAAUAGGUCUGUUCUUCCAUGGAUUUGAUAGAGGUAUCUCAAUGAACUAAUUAUUGACUUUUGUGUUCCGAACUUUAGCAUUUGUUUCCACUUAUUUAUAGUAAGGGAUUUGAUGUGUACAGUCUGUGAAUCUCAGAUUUCAUAUUGAGAGCAUUGAACUGAAGUUGUAUGUGGAAAUUGUAAAAUAUAGUUAUUUCAGUGACAUUUGAUUGUUUGUUA